AUGGAGGAGAACAGUUCUGUCAGCGAGCAUAUACUCAAAAUGUCUGGGUAUAAUAAUCACUUGAUUCAAUUGGGAGUUAAUCUUCCAGAUGAUUGCGUCAUUGACAGAAUUCUCCAAUCACUGCCACCAAGCUACAAGAGCUUCGUGAUGAACUAUAAUAUGCAAGGGAUGAAUAAGACUAUUCCCGAGCUCUUCGCAAUGCUGAAAGCUGCGGAGGUAGAAAUCAAGAAGGAGCAUCAAGUGUUGAUGGUCAACAAGACCACUAGUUCAAGAAAAAGGGCAAAGGGAAGAAGAAGGGGAACUUCAAAAAAAAAACAGCAAGCAAGUUGCUACUCAAGAGAAGAAACCCAAACCUGGACCUAA
rnacentral:rRNA from 1 species